rnacentral:tRNA from 1 species
AGACUUAUAAGUUAAGUAAAAACUAGUAGCCUUCAAAGCUAGUUAUAAGAUUAUAUCUUUAAGUCUG